GUGGUUGCCUUGGCAGCACAGAGUGCUAAAAUUGGAAUGAUACAGACAUUACCAUGGCCCCUGCGCAAGGAUGACGUGCGAAUUCCUGAAGCGCUCCAUAUUUUC
rnacentral:snRNA from 1 species